GGAAUAUUGCGCAAUGGACGAAAGUCUGACGCAGCGACGCCUCGUGAGGGACGAAGGUCUUCGGAUUGUAAACCUCUUUCAGCAGGGACGAAGCGAAAGUGACGGUACCUGCAGAAGAAGCACCGGCUAACUAUGUGCCAGCAGCCGCGGUAAUACAUAGGGUGCAAGCGUUGUCCGGAUUUAUUGGGCGUAAAGAGUUCGUAGGCGGUUUCUCGCGUCGGAUGUGAAAACUCAGGGCUCAACCCUGAGCCUGCAUUCGAUACGGGGAAACUUGAGGACGGCAGGGGAGACUGGAACUCCUGGUGUAGCGGUGGAAUGCGCAGAUAUCAGGAAGAACACCAAUGGCGAAGGCAGGUCUCUGGGCCGAUUCUGACGCUGAGGAACGAAAGCGUGGGGAGCAAACAGGAUUAGAUACCCUGGUAGUCCACGCCGUAAACGAUGGACGCUAGGUGUGGGGAACAUUCCACGUUCCCUGCGCCGCAGCUAACGCAUUAAGCGUCCCGCCUGGGGAGUACGACCGCAAGGUUAAAACUCAAAGGAAUUGACGG
rnacentral:rRNA from 1 species